GACGAACGCUGGCGGCGUGCCUAAUACAUGCAAGUCGAACGCAGUGGGGAUGGUUGCGUAACACGUGGGUAACCUCCCAUAUGAGGGGAUAACCCUUGGAAACAGGUGCUAAACCGAUACUGAUGGAUGAACCCGGGGUGCAUUAGCUAGUUGGGGGGGUAACGGCUCACCAAGGCGACGAUGCAUAGCCGACCUGAGAGGGUGACCGGCCACACUGGGACUGAGACACGGCCCAGACUCCUACGGGAGGCAGCAGUAGGGAAUCUUCGGCAAUGGACGAAAGUCUGAUCGAGCAACGCCGCGUGAGUGAAGAAGGUUUUCGGGUCGUAAAGCACUGUUGGUGGGGAAGCGGUAUCUAACCAGGAAGCCACGGCUAACUACGUGCCAGCAGCCGCGGUAAUUC
rnacentral:rRNA from 1 species